AUAUGGUAAGAGAAGUGAUUUGUUGUGAAUGUGUGUAUAUAAUAGUUCAAGUCAUACACUCUCAUAAUCCAUUUUCUCUUUGGUUAAUUCCCUUCAACUCUACAUUUAUUUGACAUGAUUGGUUGAAAGGAAAUAUUUAUAUACAUGGAUUAUUAUUUUCAAUAGUCCAUACUUGCAAUAAAAUUUUAUUAUUCCUCUUUUGAGUGAUAAAUGAUUGAUUACGAAUAUAUAUUAUAUAUCUUUUUUUUAUAAAGGACUAGAAAUACCUUGUUUUUGUAUCAUUGAAAAUUGUAUUAACAUAAAUAUAGUAGUAAAAAAUCGCAAUGCAAUAGUGUGUAAACUAUUAGAACGAGUCAAAGUGGAUUGUCUUGCACUAACACUUUCAUGCAAUAAUUCUACUAAAGGUAAUCCUAUUGCAGGAAUAGUUUUGGGUAUACAUAUUACAAUUUUCAUUGGCCAAUAACCAAUUUGGUUGCGAGGUAAUGAAUAACCAGUUACGCCAUAAGAUACGAUCAACAUUCAUAGAACCACACUUAUAACCAAGUCAAUUUAUGAGGUUAUUUAAUCCCAUUGGUCAGAUACACAAGAAAAAUACGCAGGAUCAUCAUUAGGAUUAUCAUUCUUGUGGACCAUCAAUGAAUUGAUAGGAUUAACCAAUCAAAGUUAGUUUUCGUAAUUAUGUAUUGAAGAGAGGCGAAAGCUUCCAUAACAAUCGAACGAGUAAAAACCCAUAGCAAAGCUCGUAGCUAUCAGUACUAAAAAAAGAAGUAAACUUAAUUCCCCCUAAACGAUAAAAUAUAUUCACAUAGGGAGAUGGAUAUAAAUUUUA
rnacentral:lncRNA from 1 species